CUGUUAUUAUUCAGAAUUAUAAUGAUCUUGCUGAUCAAGAACAGUAAUGCCGCAAAAACAUGUUAAUCGACAACAUAAUAAUCCAGAACCAAGAUGAUCUAGAACUGUUAUUAUUCAGAAUUAUAAUGAUCUUGCUGAUCUAGAACAGUAAUGCCGCAAAAACAUGUUAAUCGACAACAUAAUAAUCCAGAACCAUGAUGAUCUAGAACUGUUAUUAUUUAGAAUCGUAAUUAUCAUGCUGAUCUAGAACCUCAAUGACUCAGAAACAUGGUGAUUGAGAACCAUAAUGAUCCAUAACCAUGAUUCAGUCAUAAUGAUCAUUCUGAUCUAGAACUUUAACACAUCAAAAACAUGAACGAGAACCAUAAUAAUUCAGGACCAUGAUGAUCUAGAACUGUUAUUAUUCAGAUACAUAAUGAUCAUGCUGAUCUAGAACCUCAAUGACUCAGAAACAUGGUGAUUGAGAACCAUAAUGAUCCAUAACCAUGAUGAUCUAGAACUGUCUGUUAUUAUUCAGUCAUAAUUAUCAUGCAGUUCUGGUACUAUAAUGCAUCAAAAUAUGGUGAUUGAGAAUCAUAAUAAUUCAGAACCAUUAUGAUCUAGAACUGUUAUUAUUCAGUCAUAGUGAUCAUGCUGAUCUAGAACUAUAAUGCAUUAAAAACAUGGUGAUUGAGAACCAUAAUAAUCCACAGUGAUCUAGAACUACUAUUCAGUCAUAAUAAUACAGAAUCAGGCUGAUCAAGAACUAUAACGCAUCAAAAACAUGAUGAUCUAGAACUGUUAUUAUUCAGAAUUAUAAUGAUCUUGCUGAUCUAGAACAGUAAUGCCGCAAAAACAUGUUAAUCGACAACAUAAUAAUCCAGAACCAUGAUGAUCUAGAACUGUUAUUAUUCAGAAUUAUAAUGAUCUUGCUGAGCUAGUACAGUAAUGCCGCAAAAACAUGUUAAUCGACAACAUAAUAAUCCAGAACCAUGAUGAUCUAGAACUGUUAUUAUUCAGAAUUAUAAUGAUCUUGCUGAUCUAGUACAGUAAUGCCACAAAAACAUGUUAAUCGACAACAUAAUAAUCCAGAACCAAGAUGAUCUAGAACUGUUAUUAUUCAGAAUUAUAAUGAUCUUGCUGAUCUAGAACAGUAAUGCCGCAAAAACAUGUUAAUCGGCAACAUAAUAAUCCAGAACCAAGAUGAUCUAGAACUGUUAUUAUUCAGAAUUAUAAUGAUCUUGCUGAUCUAGAACAGUAAUGCCGCAAAAACAUGUUAAUCGACAACAUAAUAAUCCAGAACCAAGAUGAUCUAGAACUGUUAUUAUUCAAAAUUAUAAUGAUCUUGCUGAGCUAGUACAGUAAUGCCGCAAAAACAUGUUAAUCGACAACAUAAUAAUCCAGAACCAAGAUGAUCUAGAACUGUUAUUAUUCAGAAUUAUAAUGAUCUUGCUGAGCUAGUACAGUAAUGCCGCAAAAACAUGUUAAUCGACAACAUAAUAAUCCAGAACCAAGAUGAUCUAGAACUGUUAUUAUUCAGAAUUAUAAUGAUCUUGCUGAUCUAGAACAGUAAUGCCGCAAAAACAUGUUAAUCGACAACAUAAUAAUCCAGAACCAAGAUGAUCUAGAACUGUUAUUAUUCAAAAUUAUAAUGAUCUUGCUGAGCUAGUACAGUAAUGCCGCAAAAACAUGUUAAUCGACAACAUAAUAAUCCAGAACCAAGAUGAUCUAGAACUGUUAUUAUUCAGAAUUAUAAUGAUCUUGCUGAGCUAGUACAGUAAUGCCGCAAAAACAUGUUAAUCGACAACAUAAUAAUCCAGAACCAAGAUGAUCUAGAACUGUUAUUAUUCAGAAUUAUAAUGAUCUUGCUGAUCUAGUACAGUAAUGCCACAAAAACAUGUUAAUCGACAACAUAAUAAUCCAGAACCAAGAUGAUCUAGAACUGUUAUUAUUCAGAAUUAUAAUGAUCUUGCUGAUCUAGAACAGUAAUGCCGCAAAAACAUGUUAAUCGACAACAUAAUAAUCCAGAACCAAGAUGAUCUAGAACUGUUAUUAUUCAGAAUUAUAAUGAUCUUGCUGAUCUAGAACAGUAAUG